rnacentral:rRNA from 1 species
AAUCAACGCUGGCGGCGUGCCUCAGACAUGCAAGUCGAACGCGAAAGUUCCCUUCGGGGGGCGAGUAGAGUGGCGCACGGGUGAGUAACACGUAGGUAAUCUACCUUUGGGUGGGGAAUAACAGCCGGAAACGGCUGCUAAUACCGCAUAAUGCAGCGGCUCGACAUCGAGACAGUUGUUAAAGCGGGGGAUCGCAAGACCUCGCGCCUAAAGAGGAGCCUGCGGCGGAUUAGCUUGUUGGUGAGGUAAUGGCUCACCAAGGCAUCGAUCCGUAGCCGGCCUGAGAGGGCGGCCGGCCACACUGACACUGACAUACGGGUCAGACUCCUACGGGAGGCAGCAGUCGGGAAUUUUUGGGCAAUGGGCGCAAGCCUGACCCAGCAACGCCGCGU